UACCUGGUACAGGGUUCUCCAUUACUACGUGCAUUGUUCAUUAGCGAGUGCUAUCAGUUGGGAGAGAUAUUCUCAGCAGCUCAUCACAAAAUGCAAAAUGAAAAGCGGCUUGCACAACAUGGCGCUUUAGCUCAUACAGUGAGAUGGUGAAAGGCAGGGCAGAGCAGCUUGGUCAGUGCCGAGCCUCAGCCAUGACAGUAGGACCCAGGCUCCUCCCAUUUCUCUGCUUCAUCGUCUUCCACGUGUGGAUCUCUUACUCGCCACACUCACACCCAGCGCAGGAUUUGCCAAUUCUCUCUGCUCUUCUCUUCAGGAGGCAGAUCUUUCCCAGAAGCCUCCGGCCAGCUUCCCCUCAGGUCCCAUUCGUCAGGAUUGGGUCUCACAGGAGCAGCCCAUUUUGAACUAUAGUGAAGCAGGAAACAGCAGAGGGCUGCCCGUGGAGAGCCACCAGGAGUCUGUCCUGCUCUGGGAGUAAAGGAUGUAUGUUUCCAAUGUGAGUGUGACUGCUUACAGAAAGGACAAGGCUUCGGUCUGUGACGUAUCCAUUCGUGCAUGGAAGACAUCAGGAGGAGAUUCCUGCCUCUGUCCCAAGAAAAACAUGCUCCUGGUCCCACCCGCUGAUUCAAGGAGGAAUAACAAUGUGUGGAGCAGACCUGGACCCAAACUGAGGUUGGAAUCAAAUCCAACGGAGCCCAGGCUAGAUCAGCCACUCCCACACAAUCCACAGACACUGGAGUGAGAAAACAUGAAGCAGCACCUAAUUCCCCCGGAGUCCCACCCUGCCUGCCGCUGCCAGUUCUGACAGCAAGUUCUGCCGGGCGAAGCCCAAAUAUGACCCAUUUCCUAUGAGGACCAGAAACAAAGCUGCACAUGGCCUAAGAGUAAACAGUGACAGUUACCACUCUUGCUGACCAUGAAAUGGAACAUUUGUUACCCGGGGUUUAUGGUUCACGACGGAGCGGUCUUCGAGGCGUGGGGAUCGGCCGCGUCCCAUGCCUGCUCCGGGGUGGCGGGCCUCUUCUCCACAGAGCCUUCUCUGGGGGCCCCAGGAAUGAGCUGUUCACUCACCUAUUGGCCUCCAUCGCCUCCUGAGGCAGCUGCCAGAUGGACUCAUACAAUAAGCCUCCUAACCAGAUCUGGGCCGACCCCAGAGAGGAGGAUUCUGAAAGUGGGUUCUGAAGAAGUCUGCUGGUUUUAGGCGAGGAAAAGGGGGCACUCUGGGCUUGAAUUGACAUGUAAGAAACUACUCUUUU